rnacentral:rRNA from 1 species
AGAGUUUGAUCAUGGCUCAGGAUGAACGCUGGCGGCGUGCUUAACACAUGCAAGUCGAACGGAGUUUUAAACGGAAGUCCUCGGAUGGAAGUUUAGAAACUUAGUGGCGGACGGGUGAGUAACGCGUGGGUAACCUGCCUCAUACAGGGGGAUAACAGUCGGAAACGAUUGCUAAAACCGCAUAACAUAGCGAAACCGCAUGAUUUUGCUAUCAAAUAUUUAUAGGUAUGAGAUGGGCCCGCGUCUGAUUAGCUAGUUGGUGGGGUAAUGGCCUACCAAGGCGACGAUCAGUAGCCGGCUAGAGAGAGUGACCGGCCACAUUGGGACUGAGACACGGCCCAAACUCCUACGGGAGGCAGCAGUGGGGAAUAUUGGACAAUGGGGGAAACCCUGAUCCAGCGACGCCCGCGUGAGUGAAGAAGUAUUUCGGUAUGUAAAGCUCUAUCAGCAGGGAAGAUAAUGACAGUACCUGACUAAGAAGCCCCGGCUAACUACGUGCCAGCAGCAGC